ensembl:lncRNA
UGUGCAUUGAGAGGGGGCACCUGUUUACUGUUACCACCACCGAAUGGCAUGCUGGCCACAGCUUGCUCUCUGUCGACCACAAGAACAGAUGAAGGAAGACGGGAGAUGCCCCAUUGUGGCAUAAAAACCCUGCCAAAUAAAUCUGGAGUGAGAUGAUAGGAGACGGUGGUAAGAGGAAGGAUGGAACAGCUGGAAGGACUCCUGGGUACACAGCUGGGAUGUGAGGAAUGGAAGACGGCCUCCCUUGAAGAGGAUGUUGAAGCUCUUCAGAGGGAGUGAAAGGAGAACAUCAAGCAGCUUCAGGGCGAGUCGGGCUAGAAGAAGCUUGAGGAGCUCCAUGACUUCCUUAUUCCACCCGAGACUGAAGAAAAGAAUCUCAGGCCCAGGGCUUCUUCGCCUGUUCUCCUCCAAGUGAAGAAGCCCUCAUUGUUAAGCUGGACCUUAACGUAGAGAAUAAUAUAAUGAAAGCUCUUGGGAAAGAGGUGCGUGACAGAUUUACAAUUUAAAGGAUAAGAAUUGAGAAGGAAAUAAAGACUGCCAUCCUAAAGAGUGCAGAGCUGAUAUAACACGGUA